ACUCGGGAAAUACGUUAUUAAUAGCUUAAACUUGUCAGGACUGGAAAGUAGCAGCAAUUCAGCUUAAUUACAUAAGGUGUUUUCCGGGUUUU
rnacentral:SRP_RNA from 1 species